rnacentral:misc_RNA from 1 species
GGAAGUAAAAGUCGUAACGAGGUUUCCGUAGGUGAACCUGCGGAAGGAUCAUUCAUAAUAAGUGUUUUAUGGCACUUUUUUAAAUCCAUAUCCACCUUGUGUGCAAUGUCAGGGUUGGUCUCUUUUGAUCAGCCCCAAACAUCAACUAUUAUCUCAACUCUUUGUCUGAGAAAUAUUAUGAAUAAAACAAUUCAAAAUACAACUUUCAACAACGGAUCUCUUGGCUCUC